UGGAUACCAGAACAUUAUAAAUUUUUUUUUUUUUUACAUUAUUCCUUUUGCUUUUUGCUUACCAUUUUCUUCCCAUGGCACUGAAGUGGAAUAUCCCAAGUGCCACCGAACUCAGAGAAUUCCACGCCGGAAUGGGGGUGGCAUCCUGUUAUUACAGAAAUAUCUUUCAUAAAUUAUGAUUUUUUUUUUCAACAAAUGGAAGUAAUGCAACACCUAUUUGGUAUACUCAUCAUAUACGUUAAAUCUAACAAUGGCAUAUAAUUGAUAACAUCAGCAGGUAAGGUCAUUCUCCCUUCUUUUGCACUUUCUGAUUUGAAAUGGAUCUGGAUAUCUCUGGAAUUUGGCAUUGAUGGUAAUCUAGAGCUGUAAACCUGAGAUUAUAAAGCAAACACACUUGCCUACUGAGAAGCUUCAACUCACUACUACAGAACAGAUUUAGUUACUUAGAAGCAAGAAAUAAGGUGAUUCAAGUGAUUUAUAGGCUGUAUCAUCUCUCAUUUAGCAACAUUUUGGAAGUGCCAAUGAAUUAUUUUAGGAACAAAUUGUCUAAUAUAAAAUUUAUUAACCAAAAUGCAUCGGCUG
rnacentral:lncRNA from 1 species